rnacentral:lncRNA from 1 species
UACUUUUGUUCCCUGGGGUGAAAAGUGACUAAUGCAUAGUGACAUUCCCUGAUUACUCCAUUGGGCUGGAAACUACAAUCACUGGUGACUGGAGAGAAGCAACACCUGAAGAAGGAAGUGUACUAGUGGGGAAUCAAAGGAAACAAAGUUUUGACAGGAUAUUUGGAUUCCAAGCCAAAGGAAGAGUGAGAGUAACAACCCCCAAAGACAUUUUCAAAAGAAUUCUGGUCAUCUAAUUUCAAAAUAAUUUUUAAAAAUUGAAACUGAAUUACUGAACUCUUUCAAUGGGAACAGCUUUGAUUUAAGUUUCAUUAGCCAACUUCAUCCUUGGACGUUUCCCUAUCCUGGCUGGAUCAUGAUUGAUAUUAUAUAAUGCACUUCUUCAGUAUUCAAGGAAGCAUGGAUGUGGUUGCUCAGAUUGGAAGCCUGAAAGAAAGAAAGCAUUGAACUUCAUAAAGUGCCAGAGGUGAUUCCCUUUCUCUCUUCUGUUUCCAUCCACAUAUCUGAUUUCGAUGGGAACUAAAGUAAACUUGAGAAUGAAAGACCCACAUGAAAGUUAAAAAAAAAAACAACAGAUAUAGAACCAAGAACUUUAGGUAAC